UACGUAGGGUGCAAGCGUUAAUCGGAAUUACUGGGCGUAAAGCGUGCGCAGGCGGUUGUGUAAGUCAGAUGUGAAAUCCCCGGGCUCAACCUGGGAAUUGCAUUUGAGACUGCACGGCUAGAGUGUGUCAGAGGGGGGUAGAAUUCCACGUGUAGCAGUGAAAUGCGUAGAGAUGUUGAGGAAUACCGAUGGCGAAGGCAGCCCCCUGGGAUAACACUGACGCUCAUGCACGAAAGCGUGGGGAGCAAACAGG
rnacentral:rRNA from 1 species